rnacentral:miRNA from 1 species
CAAUAUUUGGGACAUACUUAUGCUAAAA